AGAGUUUGAUCCUGGCUCAGGAUGAACGCUGGCGGCGUGCUUAACACAUGCAAGUCGAACGCACCUUCGGGUGAGUGGCGGACGGGUGAGUAACGCGUGAGAAUCUGCCCUCAGGAGGGGGAUAACGGCUGGAAACGGCCGCUAAUACCCCAUAUGCCGAGAGGUGAAACGAGUUUUCGCCUGAGGAUGAGCUCGCGUCUGAUUAGCUAGUUGGUGGGGUAAGAGCCUACCAAGGCAUCGAUCAGUAGCUGGUCUGAGAGGAUGAUCAGCCACACUGGGACUGAGACACGGCCCAGACUCCUACGGGAGGCAGCAGUGGGGAAUUUUCCGCAAUGGGCGAAAGCCUGACGGAGCAACGCCGCGUGAGGGACGAAGGCCUCUGGGCUGUAAACCUCUUUUCUCAAGGAAGAAGAUCUGACGGUACUUGAGGAAUAAGCCACGGCUAAUUCCGUGCCAGCAGCCGCGGUAAUACGGGAGUGGCAAGCGUUAUCCGGAAUUAUUGGGCGUAAAGCGUCCGCAGGCGGUCUUGAAAGUCUGUUGUUAAAGCGUGGAGCUUAACUCCAUUUCAGCAAUGGAAACUAGAAGACUAGAGUGUGGUAGGGGCAGAGGGAAUUCCCGGUGUAGCGGUGAAAUGCGUAGAUAUCGGGAAGAACACCAGUGGCGAAGGCGCUCUGCUGGGCCAUAACUGACGCUCAUGGACGAAAGCCAGGGGAGCGAAAGGGAUUAGAUACCCCUGUAGUCCUGGCCGUAAACGAUGAACACUAGGUGUCGGGGGAAUCGACCCCCUCGGUGUCGUAGCCAACGCGUUAAGUGUUCCGCCUGGGGAGUACGCACGCAAGUGUGAAACUCAAAGGAAUUGACGGGGGCCCGCACAAGCGGUGGAGUAUGUGGUUUAAUUCGAUGCAACGCGAAGAACCUUACCAGGGUUUGACAUCCUGCGAACCCCUUGGAAACGAGGGGGUGCCUUCGGGAGCGCAGAGACAGGUGGUGCAUGGCUGUCGUCAGCUCGUGUCGUGAGAUGUUGGGUUAAGUCCCGCAACGAGCGCAACCCACGUCUUUAGUUGCCAGCAUUCAGUUGGGCACUCUAGAGAGACCGCCGGUGAUAAACCGGAGGAAGGUGUGGAUGACGUCAAGUCAUCAUGCCCCUUACAUCCAGGGCUACACACGUACUACAAUGCUACGGACAAAGGGCAGCAAACUCGCGAGAGCUAGCAAAUCCCAUAAACCGUGGCUCAGUUCAGAUCGUAGGCUGCAACUCGCCUACGUGAAGGAGGAAUCGCUAGUAAUCGCAGGUCAGCAUACUGCGGUGAAUACGUUCCCGGGCCUUGUACACACCGCCCGUCACACCAUGGAAGUUGGCCACGCCCGAAGUCGUUACUCCAACCCUUGUGGAGGAGGACGCCGAAGGUGGGGCUGGUGACUG
rnacentral:rRNA from 1 species